rnacentral:rRNA from 1 species
GCCAGCCCGCUCAGGUGUGCCAGCAGCGCGGUAAUACGGAGGAUGCGAGCGUUAUCCGGAUUUAUUGGGUUUAAAGGGUGCGUUAGGCGGAUUUUUAAGUCAGCGGUAAAAUGUCCGGGCUCAACCCGGGCCGGCCGUUGAAACUGGGGAUCUUGAGCGGGCGAGAAGUAUGCGGAAUGCGUGGUGUAGCGGUGAAAUGCAUAGAUAUCACGCAGAACCCCGAUUGCGAAGGCAGCAUACCGGUGCACAACUGACGCUCAGGCACGAAAGCGUGGGUAUCGAACAGG